rnacentral:rRNA from 1 species
UUGACCUACGGGAGGCAGCAGUGGGGAAUAUUGGACAAUGGGGGGAACCCUGAUCCAGCGACGCCGCGUGAGUGAAGAAGUAUUUCGGUAUGUAAAGCUCUAUCAGCAGGGAAGAAAGAAAUGACGGUACCUGACUAAGAAGCCCCGGCUAACUACGUGCCAGCAGCCGCGGUAAUACGUAGGGGGCAAGCGUUAUCCGGAUUUACUGGGUGUAAAGGGCGUGAAGCCGGGCUGACAAGUCAGAUGUGAAAUCCGGGGGCUCAACCCCCGAACUGCAUUUGAAACUGUUGGUCUUGAGUAUCGGG